UAUAUAAGGUAAUGCCUGCCCAGUGCUAAAUAUUGUAAAUGGCCGCAGUACCUUGACUGUGCUAAGGUAGCAUAAUCAGUUGGCUUUUAAAUGGAGUCGGGAAUGAAUGGAUUUAUAAGGUUAAGCUGUCUCUUUUAUAUUUUAUUGAAUUUAAUUAUUUAGGUGAAAAUACCUAAUUAUUGAUAAAAGACGAGAAGACCCUAGGAGUUUUAACUAGUAUCAAUAUUAAAUUGCUUAGUGUUUUUGUUGGGGCGACAUAGGAACAUAUCAACUUCCUUAAUUUUAUAUACCGACUUAAUGUAUAAAUAAUUAAACUACCCUAGGGAUAACAGCGUUAUUCUUUUUAGAGCUUGCGACCUCGAUGUUGGACUAGGAAUUUAAUGGCUAGCCGCCAAUUUCUAUUGUUC
rnacentral:rRNA from 1 species